GAGGUGCGGGGCCGGCGGAGGGGGGCGAGGAGGGAGGCGGCUCCCCCUGCGCAGAACGAUGGUUUCUCCCGGAGCUGUCGAUCAUCCAGAGAAAGCCGUGAUUUCAGCCCAAAUCUUCCUCUCGGGGUUGAGUGAGCGCUGCGAAAGCCGGAGGGGGGGUGGAGAAAAGGGGGGAGCUCCCGGAGGGCCGGAGGGAUGCCCCCGCCUCCGCCCUUCCCACCGCCCCGCUGCUUUGUCGGGGGCGGCACGGAGCCGCUGGCCUCCGCCCCGCUGCGGCUGGGCACCUCCGAGCUCGGCACCAUCCCGAACUCGGGGCAUCCCCGUGCUCGGCAUCACUCCCAGCCCGAGCUGUGCCUGCCCGGUCCUCGCCCCAAAGCGUCCACGGGCCCAAAAAACGCGGCUGGCGUGGAGCACCCCCGGGGGGGGCACAAAGUGGUCCGGCCGAUGGAAGGGGCAUGCCCGCAGAGGGACAACAGGAGUUGAUGGUGGGAGGCUCGGCAGAACUCCGAGCCACGGACCCUCUGGGGUUACCAACCCAGGUGGGGUGGGAGCAGGAACUCCUUCGUUUCCCACUGGAGAAUUGCUUACAAGCCCUAUUUGGGCUAGAUGGGGUCAAGCGGGAUUCCCCACGCUGAGACCCAGCUCCUCCUUUCUGUCACAGCACCCAAUACACCUAGUUCCCCAUGAGCCUGGGAUCCCAGUCUACCCACCAAGAGGCACAGAAGGAAUGGGCUUUUCUCACCGUGCUCUUCCUCAUCACCCUGCUGCACCAGCAGCUUGGACAUCUGGAGUGCCCUGACCCCAAGCAGGUGCACGCUGCUGUGAUCUUUGAUGCUACCUAAGGCCAGAAAUGGAGCUGAGGUGGAGAAGCAGAAAGGAGGAAGGGAAGAGGAUGGCAUGGGUCACCCGAGCAUCAUCCUGCACCGGGACCCCAGGGAUGCACAGAGCCAUGGGAUUUCAUUCCUGCAGAGGGAAGUGUGGCUGCAGACAGCAAUGAGUGAAAGGUACCUUCAUUUCUGUUGCUGUUGCCUUAGAUUUUAGAGCCUUCAGCUAAUUUAGGAAGCAGAAGUCAACUGGUAGAUUGUGAUAAAGAUUUGAAGAGGGUUGCGCGCCUAAAAUGAAUGGAACUUCUGAAUGGUAUCCAUGGGAACAAAUUAAAGAGAAGAGGCACUUUUGAAGCAUUUAAAACAGAUUUAGAAAGCUGGAAUCGGGCAGAAAACUUUGGGUAUUCUGCUCAACAGCUAAUCUGACACCAAAUUAUGAUGGCAGGCAAAGCCAAGUCAACCUUAGGUGAGAUACUGCAGAAAUUACCUGGUCGUGGCUGCAUGCUCGCUGCUAACAAAGAAACAUUUAGAAAGAUAAAGGUUGUAAAGUCGUCUCCUUCGGGGCUGGAAAUAUGUCAAACCUUCCCAAAAAAGUUUAUGUAGAGGAGGAGGGUCUUAUAGACACAAAGAGAAAGUGUGGGUAAAAUAAGGCCAAAUUAAAUAGAAGCAGAGAAUUAACAAGGAACCCCUCGUUCCCCGGAGUGAAGAGUUAUUUUGAAGUUAUUACUCUGUGCUUGAAAUAUAUAUAUAUAUAUACAUAAAAAAGAGGUUUAGCUACACAGCAAAGAAUAGGUGGAGCAAUCGCCAGAAUAGUGUACGUGUGUAAAUCCAAUCCAGAAGAUUGUACAACUCUUGACGAGCAGAAAAUUUUUGUGUUCUGGAAAAUAGUUUCAUUUUGGCCCUUUGUAAUUGCAGCCAGAAAUAGCAAUGUCAGUGAAUAAAACUGCCCGUAGGUAAUCUCUAAUGAAAAACCACCGGGCGUUGUAUAUUGACAGAGGUAAUUGCAUAAAAGGAUGCGCAGUUUAAUUGCUCUGAUUUUUAGAGAUGUGUAAAAGAGAAGGAUGUAACACAUGCUAUCUCGUGGCAGGGCAUCCACAGCCCAGAAGUCUUCUGGAAAAUUGUUUUAAAGUUGCUCAAAGGAAGGUAGAAGAGCUGAAAAGUCAAACUCAGGUCUCUGGUUAAUACUACGAAAUUACAGGGUGGCAUCCUCGAAAUUGAAAAUGCUGAAAUGGCAUUUAAUAGGAAACUGGGGAGAAAAUGACCUGUUUUUUGUCAUUGCUGGUGUUAAAAGCUGGAGUUUUGCAAAUGCUUAUGAACACUAUGAAAAAAUGUAAUAGCAUGUGUUGUGUUCAGGGCACUCAUGAGCAAAACCCUGAGAUAGCGUAGGUUGACGAGAAAGCAAACAUAGGAUCAAAGACAACGGCGUGUUGUGAAAUGGCUCUUUUCUGCUAAGAGGUGAUUACCGUGAGAGGGCAGGAGCUGAAGGAGGAACCACAUCUUCUUUCACGACGCAGGAUGAAAAGGAAACAGCAUGUCUGGGUUGUUCUGAAGAGGAGCACGCAAAGGGAGAUGCAAGGGCAUGGAGCAAGGUGCACGGCAUGCAGACAAAAGCCCUCCAAGGUCUGCAGACAAAAGGUCAGGAGUGAGCAGGAGCAGUGCCACAUGCUGUACAGCAGGCAUCUCUCAUUCUCUUUGGCUGCGGGAAUUUCCACUCUGUUUUUUUGGCUAAAAUGUGACUGAGCUGGAGCAAGCCAUCAUAGAAUCAAGGCACGGCUUGGAUUGGAAGGCACCUUAAAGCUGACCCGGUUCCAACCCCCUGCUGUGAGCUGGGUGCCUCCCACCAGCUCAGGCUGCACAGGGCCCUAUCCAUGGCCUCGGGCACCUCCAGGGAUGGGGCACCCACAGUUGGCCUUCCAGCUGCCAGCACACACUGCUGGCUCAUGUCAAACUCUUCAUCCAGCAGAACAUCCAACCAACCAAGUCCUUCUCUGCAGUGCUGCUCUCAGUGGGUUCUCCCACUCUGUAUGCUUACCUGGGGUUGCCUCAACCUGAGAACAGCACGCUGCACCUCGCUUUGCUGAACUUCAUUUGGGUCACGUGCGUACACUUCUCGAGCCCACCGAGGUCCCUUUGGAUGGCAUCCCUUCCCUCUUGUGUGUCAGCUGCACUGCUCAGCUUGGUGCCAUCAGCAAACUGCUGAGGAUGCUCUCAAUCCCACUGCCUAUGUCAUUGAUAACGAUAUUAAAGGGCGCCGGUCCCAAGAUGGACCCCUAGGGGACACUACUCAUCACCAGCCUCCACCUGGACAUAGAGCCAUCGACCACAGAAUUCCUGCAAGUGAGACAGAUGUUGGAUCUGGCAAAUUAAUUCACAUGCACUUCACGCUAAUACUUAUGUUCUUGCAGGAGCCGGCAGGAGGCAGGUCUGGCGAGGAGUGAGGGGAAACACUGCCCAAUUAGCAAGGAUGGAUGGAGCAUGGAGCAGCCCGUCCAUCUGCUCUUUGGGCUGCUGCCCUGGUGACAUGAAGGACCUGCCAGUAAGGCAGCACUCAGGUGACUCUAAUUCCAUUGACACGCUGCCACGGCACCAGUGGGUGAAGCAGAGCCCUGUCCUGCAGCAAGCUAAGCCUCCUGCCACCCUAUCCUGGCACCAGAGAGGAGCAGGUGGCUUGGAGAAGGCUAACAUGACACCAGCUUUUGUUGGAAGCCCCAUGAAGACAUGGGGAACUAGGUAUGAGGCAGAGCUUGUGAUAGUGACAGGAUGAAAGACACUUGGCUAAGUGCUGUCUGCUAGGAAAAAUAUUACGGUGCUUCUGUAUGGAGAGUCCUGUCAUGGAAUCAUAGAACGGUUUGAGUUGGAAGGAACCCUUAAAGUCCACCUGGUCCAACCCCCCUGCAAUGAACAGGGACCCCCACAGCUCCAUCAGUGCUCAGAGCCCCGUCCAGCCUGGCCUUGGGUAUCUGCAGGGACGGAGCACCCACCACCUCUAUGGGACCGUGAGUUGCUGUGCACAUCAUGUGCUGGGAUUUCCAGAGGAUUUCCAUUAAGUCUCUUUCCAAAAGGUUUUUUUGAGGAAAAUAAGCAACUAAGAAGUACAAUGGAUGUUCCAUGUGUUUUUGACUAAGAGGUGGUGGCAGAGGGUAGGAGUAAGCAGUGGGUGCUGUAAGUGGAGGAGGUCACCAGUUGGUCCUACAGGGUCUGGGCUGGGACCCAUCCUUCCCAACAGACCCUGAAGUGAGAGGGAUAGGGUCAAGCAGGGAAGUGGCAGAGGGUGAACAGUGCAACAUGGGGAAAACUACCACAACCUCACAAGAACCAAGACCAUCAGACAAAGCUUGGAUGAAGUUCAUGGUCAGGUAAGAAAAGAUAGGUGCUCAGAGGGAGGUGAUUCUCCAUAUAGGCAGGGGAGCUACUUGGCAGAGGAUGCUGUGGAUACAAGAAGCUCACAGGGAUUCCAGUGAAGACUGUACAAGUUCUUGAAGCAGGGAUCCAGGAAGACACUGGGAAAUCCAUGGGAACAAAGAAAGAGUUGGGAUGUCUUCAAUAUGGGUUGCUCUGGACUCAUGCAAUCCAUAGUCUCCUAUCUGUGAUUAAAACCUUUUCUGGGCUCACAGGAGAUGUUGUGGAUGCAGUGGGUUUCUCCACAGAUGCUCCCUGGCACCAGUGUGGCACCAGCGUUGAUGGGACCUCCAGCAUGGCCAUGCCACCGCAUGGAGGAGACCUCCAGCAUGGCCAUGCCAGUUGGCUGCUGGCCCUAUUUGCUCCAAGCUCAGCUCAUGAGACAUAGGCUGCUGCAUCCCAUUACUCAUCCCCAGGCUGUGAUCAGAUAGGUCUUUAAUUUGAUUUUAAUUAAAACAACUCUUUGCUUUUUCUUUUCUUGAGAUGGUUUGCAUUCUGUCUGGAGGGCUGUGGUUGCCAAGAGGAAGAGCUGCUGCAGCAGCACUGGGCUGGGGCUGCAAGAGAUGAGCAAUGGUGGGGUGCUGGAGCAAUGGAGCAGGACGCAGAGCAACCAGAGUCCUCCAGACUCAGGACAUGGACAUAUAGGGAUGUUGGGUGGGCUCUGCACAGAGCUGCAGAAUUGCUCAGCAGUCUUACUGGAGAGGAGCUAAAUUAGCCCUGAUUUACCUGGGAGGACGGAUAGUUCUUUUCAACUAGUUUUUAAUUUGGAGUAAAUUUCCAGAACUAGCUGUUCAGAUGUCAACGAGAUAAGUGAUCUGCGUUUCUCCUCAGUCAAACAGGAUUUUCCUUCUUUUCUGACAAGCAAAACUGUGCUCUCUAAGUAGAUGUUCCAGCUAACAAGGUGUUAAGCAUGUAGAGCACCACAAGUACUUUGUGGGGCUGCCUCGAGGGUGGAUCCAACUGCUAGUAAACCAACAAUCAGCACCAACCUUGUCUCCAGCUUCCAGGAAUGACUUCAGAUAAAUAAAUUGUCCCAGGGCCAGGACCAAGGAGAAACCUGGAAAAUAAAGCUACAAAAAUAA